rnacentral:tRNA from 1 species
UAUUCGUUGGUGUAUAGAGCACAUAAAGUUUUGAUCUUUAAAGAGAUGGUGUAAAUCCGUUACGUAUAA